UACGUAGGGGGCAAGCGUUGUCCGGAUUUAUUGGGCGUAAAGAGCGUGUAGGCGGCCAGAUAGGUCCGUUGUGAAAACUCGAGGCUCAACCUCGAGACGCCGAUGGAAACCAUCUGGCUAGAGUCCGGAAGAGGAGAGUGGAAUUCCUGGUGUAGCGGUGAAAUGCGCAGAUAUCAGGAAGAACACCCCGUGGCUAAGGCGGCUCUCUAGUACGGUACUGACGCUGAGACGCGAAAAGCGUGGGGGAGCGAAACAGG
rnacentral:rRNA from 1 species